UACGACUACAUAUCAGGCAUAUCAAUAAGCGGAGGAAAAGAAACUAACUAGGAUUCCCUCAGUAACGGCGAGUGAAGCGGGAAGAGCUCAAAUUUGAAAUCUUAAAGGGUUUCCCUUGACGAAUUGUAGUUUAAAGAAGUGUUUUCUGUUGGAGUUUUGGUAAAAGUUCUUUGGAAUAGGACAUCAUAGAGGGUGAGAAUCCCGUAUUUGACCAUUAUUUUCAGCUGUGUGAUACACUUUCAAAGAGUCGGAUUGUUUGGGAAUGCAGUCCAAAAUGGGUGGUAAAUUUCAUCUAAAGCUAAAUAUUGGCGAGAGACCGAUUAGCGAACAAGUACCGUGAGGGAAAGAUGAAAAGAACUUUGAAAAGAGAGUUAAACAGUACGUGAAAUUGUCAGAAGGGAAGCGUUUGACACCAGUGUUGUUUCUCGAAAAUCAAUUAAAAAAAGUUGGAUUUUGUGUUGUAUUGACCUUAACAGCUUGCUUCACUCUUUUCCAGCUUUUUUUAAUGCACUUUUCGAUUAACAAGUCAACAUCAGUUUCUUUUGUUGUAAAAGGGUCAUUGGAAGGUGGCUUUCUCUUCGGAGAAAGUGUUUAUAGCCUUUGAUCUCUGCAAUCGGAGAGACUGAGGUCUGCAGCGUAGAUCCUUCGGGGUUAGAUACAUUUGUGCUAAGCUACUAGCUUUCAUAGACAACUUGUUGACUAUGAUUAGUCAUUGUAGCUUACUCGCUUAUGCUAUUUUACCUACGCUUAGGAUGUUGAGCGCAUGUCUCUCUCU
rnacentral:rRNA from 1 species